ACUCAUCAACCUCCAGAUUUAUGAGCAGAGUUCAAUAUCAGAUACAUAAGCUCGCAAUGAUGAUCAAGAGUGGCAUGCAAAUGCAAGCACGCCCAGAGGGUUCCCAUGGGUUCAGGUAGUGAAGUUACCUCCUAGGCAUGGUAGUUCAUAUAUAAUGACACAUGAUAUGAAGUGCCAUUAUCAAAUCAUAACAUUGACAUUGUUAAACCAAAACUUCUAAACUUUUGAACCCAAGGCCAACAAAAAAAAAAAAAAAAGGGAA
rnacentral:misc_RNA from 1 species